AUUCAACUUUAUAGAGGUAUUUUGAUAUUUGAUUUUUAACUUUUUUUCCCACUUAUAUAAUACUAGUUUUGAUGCAUGUGCGUUGCACGUGAAUAUCAAAUCAUGUACCACACUAUUUUUCCAUCAUAAAAAAAUAGAAGAUAUACUAAAUAAGAUGUUUUAAAAAGAACAAGAAUGAAUAUUUUUUUAAAAAUGUAGUUUAAAAAUUUGAGGAAGCCCCUAUUUUUAUAUGCAACAAAGAGUAGCGUAUAAAAAACUAUGUAUUGUGUGUUAUCAAAGAGAUGUCACAACGCUAUAGAAAACUCACAACCCUUCAAAAAGGUCACAACUCAUUAGAAAAGUCAUAACUCUUCGGAAAUGUCACCACUCUUCGGAAAAGUUACAACUCUUCCUAAAAGUCAUAACCCUAUAGAAGAGUCACAACCCUUCUAAAAGCUCACAACACAUCUGCAAAGUUAAAACUCUUCGAAAAUAUCAUAACCUUCAAUGUCAAAAUGUGUGUGUCUUUAGUAUAAUAUAGUAUAAUACACAUAAAUAAAUAAAAAACAAAAAGAUAUAUUACAUUUGGUGUUUUAAGUUAGGUAGUAUAGACUGAUAAAAAAAUAUAGAUAUAGAUUUGUCUAAUCUUAUUUUGAUAUGGAAUUUUACAAAAUAAAGAAGAAUUUUAAUUUAAGGAGCAUAUGUUGAAUAUAUAAAAAUGUCUUUUCACUUUGUCGUCUUAAUGAUGUGCCCCACCCAAAGAAAAAACUAACAUUUUAUAUUAAACUAAAUAAAAGUAAAAGUACACUAAAAAUAUGAUUAAUAUUACCAACUAAAACAAUCUUACAAAAAUAAUUUUGAAACUUCAAGAAUCUAAAUUUUUAUUUCUUAGAUAUGAUAACUACUAAAUCUAAUAGGUCAAUCUCAAGAUCGUCGAAAAAUUAAACUAUAAAAGAAAAGUAACUUUAAGUUUCUUUUCUAUUCCUACCCUGUCUCUCCCUAAAUCUCUUAUCAAUUGCUGAAGAACUCUAGAUAUGGCCGAUCCACCACCGGCGGAAGAACCGAACUUCAUCACGUGUUCGGCGGUCUUGCAGCUAUACCUCUUGACCGUACUUUUUACGCCCUACACAUGAUCACAACAUACCAAGAAAAUGUUGAAGAUUUCCCUAUGGAAUUUCCAAAUGUUAAUUUGACAGCAGAUGCCAUCAUUCUUGAUAAAUCAUUCAAUGAUAAUUUUUCAAACCCUAUCAAUGAUGAUGCAUUUCAAAACCCAUAAUCUACCAGACUGUCUCGGGUUGGAUUCAGGUUUCGACUCAAAUCAAAUGAACCCAACUAGCUUUUUUGAUUGAAUUUUAUGAAAAAUGUCUUGGAAAAGUUUUGACUAUUGACGAUCAUGUGAAUCGGACUUGUUGUUAUGGGAAAUACAGUGGUAAAGAUCAUAGCUCCCAUUGUUGCCGGGGAGGUCAGGGUGAAAGCAAUAUGAAAAAUACCAAUUAGGUUGCAGAUGAGUUUACUCAUAUGGGAAAUGGUAGUGAUCCUCUGGCAGCCUCUCUGUAUGUCCCAAGGAAUGAUAAACUUGUUUAGAUUGAUGGGAAGUUGAUAAUUCAAUCUGUAUUGGCAAGUGAGAAAGCCAUGGUAUUUCAUGGAAGUGAUGAUAAGAAAAAUAGAAAGGCGGGCCUCACAGGUGAUUUAGCCCCUGCUAUCCCAGGAAUCCAUCCUCACCUUUAUCAAAGUCCUGCAAUGAGACAAAGCAUUCUUGCAUCCGAGGGGAGAGAGAAUGCAAAGUCAACUACGCAUGAGUGGUACCUUGAAGGUUUUGCCGACCUUUGUUGAGGUCGGGCAUGUGUACAAAAGUGUUCGAGUUUGAUGCGUCAUCUUCUGCUAGAGAUACAUCUAUGGAAGAAAGGAAGAAUGACACGCGCCUCCCAGAAAUAGAAGGAUCCUCAAUGGGCCUCCAGUCUCCCUUUCUUGACCCUCUCACAACAUUUCUGAAGAACAAACAGGAAAAAAUGGAAAGCAAGAGAACUAGCCACAUUCUUGCAUGGUAGUACCUGUUCUUGUUCAUGGUGAUGGCGUCAUACGUCCGAAGUCGAUCUCCCGGAUAUUCGUUGUUAUGCUUAUUGAUACUGUCAAAUAUGUAACCUAUUCUUUCAUGCUUCCAUUUAAAGGAUCUGCUCCUCUAGUGAACGCCGCUGAAGAUGGAACAUUCAUACAGCGGAAGCAUAUCGGUCGUCUUCUUUAUGUGUAAUAUGUUUAUGCAAUAAUACUACACUAUCUCUCUUUAAAUAUCGAAAUAACCAAGCGAACAGUUCAUUAAGUUAUAUGUAUUAUAUUUGUGCAUUUGAUAUUUACUCAAAAAUUACAAUUGUAGUUGCCAA